rnacentral:rRNA from 1 species
CCUACGGGGGGCAGCAGUGGGGAAUAUUGCACAAUGGGGGAAACCCUGAUGCAGCGACGCCGCGUGAGUGAGGCAGUAUUUCGGUAUGUAAAGCUCUAUCAGCAGGGAAGAAAAUGACGGUACCUGACUAAGAAGCCCCGGCUAACUACGUGCCAGCAGCCGCGGUAAUACGUAGGGGGCAAGCGUUAUCCGGAUGUACUGGGUGUAAGGGGAGCGUAGACGGCUAAUCAAGUCAGAGGUGAAAGCCCAGGGCUCAACCUUGGGAGUGCUUUUGAAACUGAGUAGCGAGAGAGCAGGGGGGGUAGGCGGAAUUCGUGGUGGAGCGGGGAAAGGCGUAGAUAUUAGGAGGAACACCAGUGGCGAAGGCGGCUUACUGGACUGUAACUGACGUGGAGGCUCGAAAGCGUGGGGAGCAAACAGGAUUAGAUACCCUUGUAGUC